rnacentral:rRNA from 1 species
AGAGCGAACGCUGGCGGCAGGCUUAACACAUGCAAGUCGAGCGGGCGUAGCAAUACGUCAGCGGCAGACGGGUGAGUAACGCGUGGGAACAUACCUUUUGGUUCGGAACAACACAGGGAAACUUGUGCUAAUACCGGAUAAGCCCUUACGGGGAAAGAUUUAUCGCCGAAAGAUUGGCCCGCGUCUGAUUAGCUAGUUGGUGAGGUAACGGCUCACCAAGGCGACGAUCAGUAGCUGGUCUGAGAGGAUGAUCAGCCACAUUGGGACUGAGACACGGCCCAAAACUCCUACGGGAGGCAGCAGUGGGGAAUAUUGGACAAUGGGCGCAAGCCUGAUCCAGCCAUGCCGCGUGAGUGAUGAAGGCCCUAGGGUUGUAAAGCUCUUUUGUGCGGGAAGAUAAUGACGGUACCGCAAAGAAUAAGCCCGGCUAACUUCGACGCCAGCAGCCGC